AGGUCUGAUGAAGCAGAGAUGAGAUUCACAGAAGACAGCUGCUGCUUUGCCCUCUGACCGAGGUCCUGUGCAUUCAUUGCUGCUCUGCUUACAGAAUUAUUAUCAUGGUGAAAGGAAGGAGUGCUUUCCAAAGUGUGAAGAAGAAAUCUGCAAGUCCUCACCACGGAGCCUUGAAAAGGAGGUCACAGAAAUAUCUGGAGCAAAGGACUUCCUCUCACUUGUCUCACCUAAUAGCAAUCUUAGAAUAAAGGUUUCUCACUCCUAGGCCAA